GGCUUGUAGCUCAGUGGUAGAGCACUUGCUUUGCACAUGUGAGGCACUGGGUUCGAUCCUCAGCACCA
rnacentral:tRNA from 1 species